rnacentral:misc_RNA from 1 species
CCACCUUGCAUUUGAAAAUUGCAAUAAUAGUAUUCUCCCUGCAUGUGUUAUAUGUGGCAGGUGUGGAGAAUUAGGACAAAGAUAACGCAGAUAUAAAAUUAUAAUCUCUGCUGUUAAGAUCAUAUGAUGUGAUUGUUGUAUGACCAGUGCUACCAUUGCACAUGAUAUAUGGUUGCAGGACACAAAAUAAUGAAUAUUGAUGCAUAGAAUAGCUAAGGUAGAUAAGAGUUUGCUCUACAGGUAGAGAAUAGCUAAGGUAGAUAAGAGUUUGCUCUACAGGUAGCUUACGUUGAGCCAAGGAAGAAAGCAAGG